UCUAGCCAAGGGUAACAAAAUCCGCCAACCGGCACCUCUGAAGCUCACUAACUAACAUCUUGUUUUUUUUUAA